rnacentral:misc_RNA from 1 species
GUCAAAAUUCUAUAGUGGUUCUCCAUUCUCUCUUGGCCGAUCUCCAUCGAAUUACUGACUGAAUUCAGAGAAUGGCUUCAUUCCGAGCAUUCUUGAACAGCCCUGUUGGUCCAAAAACUACUCAUUUUUGGGGACCUGUCGCCAACUGGGGAUUUGUGGCUGCUGGUUUAGCAGACAUGAACAAGCCACCAGAAAUGAUUUCUGGCAACAUGACAGCAGCAAUGUGCGUCUAUUCAGCCCUGUUCAUGAGAUUUGCAUGGAUGG